AGUGUGAUCCAAGCCAAUAUAAGGUUCUUUUGGGUGUCAUAAAUGAACAUAAUCACUGGACUAUUGCUGCCAUUUAUCCAUCUAAAAAGAAAACAUUGUUUUUGGAUCCCCUGGGAGAGUCCCAAAAAAAAGUAAACAAGUGCCUGGAAACCACAAGAGCCUUUAUGAGGAAUAGAGGAUGCAAAGUUUCAAGGUGGACGUGUGACACUGUUCCUCACCCAAUGCAACGUGAUGGCACAUCUUGUGGUGUUUUUGUAUGCAAGUUUGCAGAACAAAUCCUGACAGAACAGCCUAUCAGCUUCUCAAAUGCAGAAAAGGCAGUUAACCUCUUUAGGAAAAAAAUUGCAGUGACCUUAAUACAGGAAUCAGAAGAUUUGAGUGAUCUUUGUCGAUUCUGUGGGGAAGACAUCAACCUAAGUGAUCCAGGGCUGACACCUGCAUGGAUUGCCUGUGAUGGAUGUGACAGAUGGUACCACCAGUCAUGUGUUGGCAACCCACCAGUAGAUGAAGAUUUUUACUGUCCUGCAUGCACUGAAGAUUAG